GACGAACGCUGGCGGCGUGCCUAAUACAUGCAAGUAGGACGCAGUUGCGAACGGGUGAGUAACGCGUAGGUAACUACCUAUUAGAGGGGGAUAACUAUUGGAAACGAUAGCUAAUACCGCAUACUAGUAGAUGGACCUGCGUUGUAUUAGCUAGUAGGUAGGGUAAUGGCCUACCUAGGCAACGAUACAUAGCCGACCUGAGGGGGUGGACGGGCAAAAUGGGACUGGGACAAGGGCCAAGCUCCCACGGGGGGCCGGAGGAGGGAAUCUGCGGCAAUGGGGGGAACCCUGACCGAGCAACGCCGCGUGAGUGAAGAAGGUUUUCGGAUCGUAAAGCUCUGUUGUUAAGGAAGCGGUACUUAACCAGAAAGGGACGGCUAACUACGUGCCAGCAGCCGCGGUAAUUC
rnacentral:rRNA from 1 species